rnacentral:rRNA from 1 species
CCUACGGGAGGCAGCAGCAAGGAAUCUUCGGCACUGGGCGCAAGCCUGACCGAGCAACGCCGCGUGGAGGACGACGGCCUUCGGGUUGUAAACUCCUUUCGGGGGGGAUGAAACGGACAGUACCCCCAGAAGCAGCCCCGGCUAACUCUGUGCCAGCAGCCGCGGUAAUACAGAGGGGGCAAGCGUUGUCCGGAUUUACUGGGCGUACAGCGCGCGCAGGCGGACCGGGCCGUGCCGUGUGACAAGCCACCGCUCACCGGUGGAGGGCCACGGUACACGACCGGUCUGGAGGCAGGGAGAGGGAUGUGGAAUGCCCGGUGGAGCGGUGAAAUGCGUAAAGAUCGGGCGGAACACCAGCGGCGAAGGCGGCAUCCUGGUCCUGUCCUGACGCUGAGGCGCGAGAGCGUGGGGAGCGAACUGGAUUAGAUACCCAGGUAGUCCACGCCGUAAACGAUGUGUACCCGGCGCUGGGCAGUGAUUGCGCUGCUCGGUGCCUCAGCUUACGCAGUGAGUACACCGCCUGGGGACUACGGCCGCAAGGCUAAAACUCAAAGGAAUUGACGGGGGCCCGCACAAGCAGCAGAGCGUGUGGUUUAAUUCGACGCACCACGAAGAACCUUACCUAUGCUUGACAUGCACCUGCAAGCUGCGGAAACGCAGCCGUCUUCGAGGGUGGUGCACCGGUGCUGCAUGGCUGUCGUCAGCUCGUGUCGUGAGAUGCUGGGGUAAGUCCCGCAACGAGCGCAACCCUUGCCCCAUGUUACAUGUGUCAUGGGUGACUGCCCGGUGCGUUCCACCCGGAGGAAGGCGGGUAUGACCUCAAGUCCCCCUGGCCCCGACGUCCUAAGGCGACACUCACGCUACUAGGCGCCGGGCUCAGUGCGCAUUACCCUGGCUACUAGGAGCCUAUUCGCAAGGUCGGACCUAAUAGAGAUUUGGGGGCCUGAAGUCUGCCCCCUUGAUGCGGAUUUGCUA